rnacentral:rRNA from 1 species
UACAGAGGUCUCAAGCGUUGUUCGGAUUCAUUGGGCGUAAAGGGUGCGUAGGCGGCGCGGUAAGUCGGGUGUGAAAUCUCGGAGCUUAACUCCGAAACUGCAUUCGAUACUGCCGUGCUUGAGGACUGGAGAGGAGACUGGAAUUUACGGUGUAGCGGUGAAAUGCGUAGAUAUCGUAAGGAAGACCAGUGGCGAAGGCGGGUCUCUGGACAGCUCCUGACGCUGAGGCACGAAGGCCAGGGGAGCAAACGGG